GCCCUAAUAGCUUAAAAUCAAAAGCGUUGUUCUUGUAAACCAAAGCUGGGUUUCCCCCUUAAGGCA
rnacentral:tRNA from 1 species